ACUGCCCCCAGCCUCCGCCCCUUUCCAUCUCCCACAGCCACUCCCAUACCCCCAGGGCAAACAGCAAACACCCAACAAAUGCUCCACCGCUGACAAGCAGCAGCUCAGCACAUCCCAGAGGGGCCAGCAGCAACAAGGACAAGAACAAUCGCACGAGAUCAGGAGGAGAAAGAUCACACUGAGGAAUCCCUGGCACUUGAAGCAUGAGUUCAGUUAGAGAUUCAGAGUGCACAGUUGAAGCCUCUCUCAGGAGCAGCUGGUCUCCAGUCCCUCUGCAGCUCUUCCAGCAGCACUGCAGGGCUCUAGCAGCUGAUUCCAAUGCAGGAUUCAC